CGGCAAAUGACCCAGCCUCGUGUGUCGGUAAUAUGCCUUCUUCGGGAAGGAAAUUUGCGUCUGGCUUACGGCCGUGAACCAAACUAACGUCAAGUCUGGUUAAUUGCACGUGUCGAAACCUAUGUGCAAUUGCUGUGGUUUCAUCCCUAGCAUCCACGUGAUUUCUCAUAUCUACAUAAACCUGCUAACCCAGGCUUUUAUAGCCUUCUAUCCCUGGGUGACAAUGAGACUUCCGUUUGAGAUAUGUGUACUUUUCUACCUGACAAUUGUCACCAAUGCUGUUCCUCUUCAAAGUCAGCGGAAAUAUAGAGGGGCAGAGGCCAUGUAUCGACGAGGCUUUGCAUGAGGAGUCAGCCGUGUAUCAACGAGCGCUCUCUAGCACUCUGAAUCUGUAGGUUCAGUACUUGAAAGCUGGGUGGAAUACGGGGUUUAUAGACCACAGUAUUCGUCAUACCACAGGUUGACCAAAAAAUACAAUACCUCCAAUUUAUAUUGCUCUUAUUUUUCGGUUUGCGGCGGGAUUUAUCUCGAAGUGCGUUUAAUCUCAGAAUUUACGCUGGACUACACACUGCUAUUUACAUACGAGCUUAGUUGUCAGACAGAGAUGACAAAGCAAAAAGGACAGAUACUUGACUACUCUUUACAUAGGGUUCAUAUAGAUAGUGUCUCUACAGUGAGGCAGAAUUUAAGA
rnacentral:lncRNA from 1 species